GACGAACGCUGGCGGCGUGCUUAACACAUGCAAGUCGUACGGUAAGGCCCUUUCGGGGGUACACGAGUGGCGAACGGGUGAGUAACACGUGAGUAACCUGCCCACAACUUUGGGAUAACGCUAGGAAACUGGUGCUAAUACUGGAUAUGUGCUCCUGCUGCAUGGUGGGGGUUGGAAAGCUCCGGCGGUUGUGGAUGGACUCGCGGCCUAUCGGCUUGUUGGUGGGGUAGUGGCCUACCAAGGCGGCGACGGGUAGCCGGACUGAGGAGGUGACCGGCCACAUUGAGACUGAGAUACGGCCCAGACACCGACGGGAGGGAGCAGGGGGGAAGAUUGCACAAGGGGCGCAAGCCUGAUGCAGCAGCGCCGCGUGCGGUAUGACGGCCUUCGGGUUGAAAACCGCUUGCAGCAGGGACGAAGCUUUUUGUGACGGUACCUGCAGAAGAAGCACCGGCUAACUACGUG
rnacentral:rRNA from 1 species